UACGAAGGGGGCUAGCGUUGCUCGGAUUGACUGGGCGUAAAGGGCGCGUAGGCGGUUCGUACAGUCAGACGUGAAAUUCCUGGGCUCAACCUGGGGGCUGCGUUUGAUACGUGCGGGCUUGAGUUCGGAAGAGGGUCGUGGAAUUCCCAGUGUAGAGGUGAAAUUCGUAGAUAUUGGGAAGAACACCGGUGGCGAAGGCGGCGACCUGGUCCGUGACUGACGCUGAGGCGCGAAAGCGUGGGGAGCAAACAGG
rnacentral:rRNA from 1 species